UCUUUUUUUCCAAAUACUACUCUCACUCCCUCACACUCUCCCACUGGUACCACUCCCCACCACCAUCUCCACCAUCAUUGUUCCAACUAGAUCACCGAAAAAACUUCUUAGGAACCUUAACAUCUUCUUUCCUUUUAUUUGAGAAGGAUUCUCAUCGCUUAUUCGUCAAGCUGCUAGGAAUUAGAUGAUAAGUGAUAUAUCUAUAUGUAGAGGAUGCCCAAUGAUGACCCAUUUGUUCUUCACAGAUGACAGCCUUCUGUUCUGUAAGGCUAACACCUAGGAAUGUCAGAUGCUGAUUGAAAUUCUUAAGCUCUAUGAAGUUGCUUUAAGCCAAAAAAUAAAUACUGACAAAUCUUCAAUCUUCUUCAGCCACAAUACCCCUCAACAAUUAAGAGAUGAUGUGUUUAACACUCUUGGACCAUAUGCAAGGAUCACAGCACAACAAAUACUUGGGGCUGCCCUCAAUUGUAGGAAAGAAAAAAAAAAUUGAAGUUUUUGCGGAGAUUAAAGAAAGGGUAGGGAAAACGCUAUUUGGGUGGAAAUAAAAAAUGCUAUCCAUGGGAGGAAGAGAGAUUCUUAUUAAAGCGGUUGCCCAAGUAAUCCCAACCUACACCAUGAGUUGCUUCCAACUUACAAAAGGCCUGUGUGGUGACUUAGAAGGAAUGAUGAGGAGAUUUUGGUGGGGACAGAGGCAGCAAGAAUCAAAGAUAGCUUGGGUUAGUUGGAAAAAGAUGUGUAAAUCUAAGCUUAAAGGUGGGAUGGGCUUCUGAAACCUUCAAGCUUUCAACCUAGCUAUGUUAGCAAAAUAGGGUUGGAGAUUGUUGAUAAACCUAGACUCUCUUGUGGCUCAAAUUUAUAAGGCCAAAUAUUAUCCACAUGGGGACGUCCUUAAAGCCAAAUUAGAAUCGAAUUUCUCAUACACUUAGUGAAGUAUUAUGAAUGGGAUGGAAGUGAUAAGGAGAGGAACCCGAUAGAGAGUAGGGAAUGGAAGCUUGAUCCAUAUUUGGGAAGAUAAAUGGAUGCCUACUCCUUCAACAUAUAAGGAUAACUCAAAGGCUACAAAGAAAAGAGGAGAGCACCAGGUCAGUAUCAGGCUAAGGAGAACAGAAAAUGGGAAGCCCUCCCAAUGGAGUAUUCAAAGUUAAAGUAGAUGGUGCCACAUCUGAUCAGGGGAGGAACUCUAGUGUCUGGGUGGUCAUUAGAAACUCAGAGGUGAUGGUUAUAGCGGCCUGGUCAAAGUACCUCAAUGGCCUGUUCUCAGUGUUAGAAGUGGAGGCUCUGGCUAUUGAAUCAGAUAUUCUUCUUGCUAAGGAAGUGGAGUUGCCUAAUAUCAUCAUUGAAUCAGAUGCUUUAUUAGCAAUUCAAAGCGUUGAAAAGGCUAAAACAGAAGGUGUCUUGGCCACUUGGUUCACGGUAUAAAUGUAUAAUCCUUCUCCUUAAGAACUUUAGAUGCUGGAGCAUUAAGCACGUGGAAAGGUAGUACAACAGAGUUGCCCAUGAACUUUGGAAAGAGAUUUCUCCUCCCAUGAUUCGCCGCCUGAUCUGAAUUAAUUGUAUCUAUUUUUCUGUUGGUGGUAGAACUCUGUUGUAUUUCAAUUUCAUUUGGUAAUGAAAUUCAUCAUUUUCA